rnacentral:rRNA from 1 species
AUUGAACGCUGGCGGCAUGCUUUACACAUGCAAGUCGAACGGUAACAGGCCGCAAGGUGCUGGCGAGUGGCGAACGGGUGAGUAAUGCAUCGGAACGUGCCCAGUCGUGGGGGAUAACGCAGCGAAAGCUGCGCUAAUACCGCAUACGAUCUAUGGAUGAAAGCGGGGGACCGUAAGGCCUCGCGCGAUUGGAGCGGCCGAUGUCAGAUUAGGUAGUUGGUGGGGUAAAGGCCUACCAAGCCAACGAUCUGUAGCUGGUCUGAGAGGACGACCAGCCACACUGGGACUGAGACACGGCCCAGACUCCUACGGGAGGCAGCAGUGGGGAAUUUUGGACAAUGGGCGCAAGCCUGAUCCAGCAAUGCCGCGUGCAGGAAGAAGGCCUUCGGGUUGUAAACUGCUUUUGUACGGAACGAAACGGUCCGGGUUAAUACCCCGGGCUAAUGACGGUACCGUAAGAAUAAGCACCGGCUAACUACGUGCCAGCCGCCGCGGUAACAC